rnacentral:rRNA from 1 species
ACGGGUGAGUAACGCGUAGGAAUAUGUCCAGAGGUGGGGGACAACCCCGGGAAACUGGGGCUAAUACCGCAUAUGAGCUGAGGCUCAAAGCAGUGAUGCGCCUUUGGAGUAGCCUGCGUCCGAUUAGCUUGUUGGUGGGGUAAUGGCCUACCAAGGCGACGAUCGGUAGCUGGUCUGAGAGGACGACCAGCCACACUGGGACUGAGACACGGCCCAGACUCCUACGGGAGGCAGCAGUGGGGAAUAUUGGACAAUGGGCGCAAGCCUGAUCCAGCAAUUCCGCGUGGGUGAAGAAGGUCUUCGGAUUGUAAAGCCCUUUCGACGGGGACGAUGAUGACGGUACCCGUAGAAGAAGCCCCGGCUAACUUCGUGCCAGCAGCCGCGGUAAUACGAAGGGGGCUAGCGUUGCUCGGAAUUACUGGGCGUAAAGGGCGCGUAGGCGGCUUAGUUAGUCAGGCGUGAAAUUCCUGGGCUCAACCUGGGGACUGCGCUUGAUACGGCUAGGCUAGAGGAUGGAAGAGGGUCGCGGAAUUCCCAGU